GACGGAGGAUGCAAGCGUUAUCCGGAAUUAUUGGGCGUAAAGCGUCCGCAGGUGGCUGUUCAAGUCUGCUGUCAAAGCGCAGAGCUUAACUCUGUACAGGCGGUGGAAACUGAAGAGCUAGAGUAUGGUAGGGGUAGAGGGAAUUCCCGGUGUAGCGGUGAAAUGCGUAGAUAUCGGGAAGAACACCAGUGGCGAAGGCGGGUCUCUGGGCCGAUACUGACGCGUGAG
rnacentral:rRNA from 1 species